CUCAGCUUUGCUGUGGUGCUGUGGGGUGGCCAGUUGUGGGGACAGCAGGACAAGCAGGAUGAUGCCCUCAGCUGGGAUGUAAGGGAUUGGCUGCUCUGCUCCAUUGGCCUGGCCUUGCUGAGGUGACUUGGCUGCACAAAGUGAGGGUUGAGGGCCACCCCAGCUGCCUCUUGCCCUCUCCAAGCCUUGCACACUAGUAUGGGUUGGGGAGAGCUGCUUUCACAACCUGGAUGUGUUGUCACUCACUUCCAGACGUUUCCUGUUAUCUAACCUCAGCCUUAUCUUCCCCAUUUGCAGCUUCCUCUUGAAGGAGGAGCAGCCCCUUCAAAACUGAGCUGUGCCCUGCUGCCAAGCCAGCCCUGCACCACUGUCCCUGCCAGCUCCUUCUCUUGGCUGUUCCCCACAUCCAGGCUGUCAGAUGAAGGUUCUCCCACACCUCCAGCAAGCAUCGCAGAGCAGCUGGGGAAGGGGCUGGAGCUCACAGGCUGCAGAUCUGUCUGGUCGCCAUGUUAAAUCCCCCUGAGAGAUGGUGAGUUACUUAGGGGGGAACCAAAGCUUUUCUAACUUCAAUAAGGAACUUACUUGGAUAAUGCAGGCAGCUCUUUCUGUUUCUCCCCCAGAGUAUGAAGUUUCAUAGUUUCAUAGUUUCGUGCGGGUUGGAAGGGACCUUAGAGAUCAUCGAGUCCAGCCCCCGGGAUUCGAGCCUCUCUGUGUAGCAGAGCGGCACUUCUACCACUUGCGCCACAGGGGGGAUUCGAACUCCGGGCCCCAGUGUUGCAAGGCGGCGUCCUUAACCACUGCGCCACCGGGGCACACAAGUUGAUUGCUUGGUCUGUUUUACAACGCUAAGCUUUGAGUUGGAAAUACCCUUUUCAGCUGGAAACCAGAAGCUCUGACAAUGACAGAUCUAUUCAGAAGAUAUACCAUCAUUACAGGGUGGGGUAGCGAGUUCCAUUCCCAUCUGCUGAUAGAAUUAUCUCCACUGUGUGACCCUCCUCUUAUUCGUUGCUGACAGCAACGUUUCUUGUGGCUGUUUCCCCCCCAGUUGCAGUGAGGGGUUAUUUUCAGCUGCAGAAGCAGAAACAAUGCUGUCUCUCUGUCUUUUUUUCCUCUCAAGGCCAGAUCUUCCAGUUAGUAACCAGCAGUGAAGCUGGGUAGGUCUGUGGCAGAUUCCUACUCAGUCUCUGUACAACCCCUCCAUUG
rnacentral:lncRNA from 1 species